CACCCAUUCACUGCUGAGGGUGAACUGAUUUCUUGCAUGGACUGACCAGGUUGUGUAUGACAUUGGUGAGCGUCCACACCACAGGCACACUGAGGAAAGGGAUGCUGAGUAGGACCACAUGCAGGGCAGUGGUGAGCAGCAGGAGCUUCUGUGGACGCCAGAAAUGAGAAGACGCGUGCAGAUAUGAUAGAAAAGGAGUAGAGCCUUUCCAUGCUGUC